GCUACACGCAAGAAGUUGUUUGAACUUGCCAGAGCUUUCUCAGAAAAGACCAAAAUGAGGAAGUCAAAAAGAAAACAGCUUUUGAAGCACCAAGUGAUGGGGACUGCGGCCUCAACAGCAAACCUUCUUGACGAUGUUGAAGGACAUUCAUGUGAUGAGGACUGCCAAAUAAGAAAAAAAUUACCUGCAGCAGAAGAACCAUCAAAAGAAGUACA